rnacentral:rRNA from 1 species
GACGAACGCUGGCGGCGUGCCUAAUACAUGCAAGUGGGACGCAAGGAAACACACUGUGCUUGCACACCGUGUUUUCUUGAGUCGCGAACGGGUGAGUAACGCGUAGGUAACCUGCCUAUUAGCGGGGGAUAACUAUUGGAAACGAUAGCUAAUACCGCAUAAUAUUAAUUAUUGCAUGAUAAUUGAUUGAAAGAUGCAAGCGCAUCACUAGUAGAUGGACCUGCGUUGUAUUAGCUAGUUGGUAAGGUAAGAGCUUACCAAGGCGACGAUACAUAGCCGACCUGAGAGGGUGAUCGGCCACACUGGGACUGAGACACGGCCCAGACUCCUACGGGAGGCAGCAGUAGGGAAUCUUCGGCAAUGGACGAAAGUCUGACCGAGCAACGCCGCGUGAGUGAAGAAGGUUUUCGGAUCGUAAAGCUCUGUUGUAAGUCAAGAACGUGUGUGAGAGUGGAAA